CCUACGGGAGGCAGCAGUCGAGAAUCAUUCACAAUGGGGGAAACCCUGAUGGUGCGACGCCGCGUGGGGGAAUGAAGGUCUUCGGAUUGUAAACCCCUGUCAUGUGGGAGCAAAUUAAAACGAUAGUACCACUAGAGGAAGAGACGGCUAACUCUGUGCCAGCAGCCGCGGUAAUACAGAGGUCUCAAGCGUUGUUCGGAAUCACUGGGCGUAAAGUGUGCGUAGGCUGUUUCGUAAGUCGUGUGUGAAAGGCGCGGGCUCAACCCGCGGACGGCACAGGGUACGGCGAGACUAGAGUAAUGGAGGGGGAACCGGAAUUCUCGGUGUAGCAGUGAAAUGCGUAGAUAUCGAGAGGAACACUCGUGGCGAAGGCGGGUUCCUGGACAUUAACUGACGCUGAGGCACGAAGGCCAGGGGAGCGAAAGGGAUUAGAUACCCUUGUAGUC
rnacentral:rRNA from 1 species